GACGAACGCUGGCGGCGUGCUUAACACAUGCAAGUCGAACGGAAAGGCCCUGCUUUUGUGGGGUGCUCGAGUGGCGAACGGGUGAGUAACACGUGAGUAACCUGCCCUUGACUUUGGGAUAACUUCAGGAAACUGGGGCUAAUACCGGAUAGGAGCUCCUGCUGCAUGGUGGGGGUUGGAAAGUUUCGGCGGUUGGGGAUGGACUCGCGGCUUAUCAGCUUGUUGGUGGGGGAGUGGCUUACCAAGGCUUUGACGGGUAGCCGGCCUGAGAGGGUGACCGGCCACAUUGGGACUGAGGUACGGCCCAGACUCCUACGGGAGGCAGCAGUGGGGAAUAUUGCACAAUGGGCGGAAGCCUGAUGCAGCAACGCCGCGUGCGGGAUGACGGCCUUCGGGUUGUAAACCGCUUUCGCCUGUGACGAAGCGUGAGUGACGGUAAUGGGUAAAGAAGCACCGGCUAACUACGUG
rnacentral:rRNA from 1 species